GGAUCUGCGCGCGCAGCGGUCGCCGACCCAGACCCAGGCUCUCGCGAGAGCACGCAGACGCCCCUCCCCGGCGCGGGGUGAGAUCUUGCCGCCGCGAGGCAAACUGGGUUCCCGCCGCCUGUUUUCAAAGGCGGGGAAGUAACGAGUUUUCGCUCUCUUCCCGGCUAAAGCAAGAUCCUCCUCUUUUUCCGCGGAGGGUUUGAACGCAGCCAGCGCGAUCGUUAUCAUGAGGUCCAGGGUGCCAUCAGUCCUUCUGAAUAACAUGGCCCAAGGAGCAUCUGAGGAACUUCAAGACAUCCUGGCUUUGUGCUGACAGCUACCAUCAGCGCUCAGGAAUCCAGCAAGGGGAUCGGACCAGGCUUCUGGGGGGUCUUCAGGCAAAUAAAGCCCCAAGCAGCAACGAAGCAACACUUGGCAAACAGCAACAGCAAUGCCUACGGACCCAAACCAAGUGACUGAGAGCGAGGAUGCUGACUCUCCGAAUCAGGCAGGCUGCCUUUCAGCAGGUUUUGGUUACCGAGUGACUCACAUGUGUGUGCUUUACACAUCAGGCUCAACCCAGCACUGUGACACUGGGAAUCAUGGACUUGCCCAGUGGGCUGCCAGCCCCUCCUCCACAACUGUUUCUGUGCUUAACUAAACAUGUGCUUUGGAAAAGAGAAGUGGAGGCCCCCUCACCAAUACUACCUUUGGGGAAUGGCUCCUAUAAACCAUGUGGCUGGCCCCAAGUAAGGGAGGCUAAUCUAGGACCCUCCACACGGGUCGGAAGGGUGGGCUUGGGACCCGCUGGGCCAAUAGUCUGCCUCACCUGUGUGUCUACUGGGACUGGUCUAGGGGAGGUGGGUCAUGUGACCCAUGUUCUUUUUUUGUUUAACUUACUUAGGGUUGGUUUUUCUACUGCUGUCACCAAGAAUCUUGACUCAUACACAGGGGAGCAGGAGGAAUAGGGGAGAAUGAAGGUUGGAAAGAAAGGAUUUGACAAAGGAUUGUAUUAAAUGCACAAGUAAGACACCCAUUGCAAACCUAUUAAAUAAGCCACAUCUGCAAACUCAGAAGCACACAGACAAAAGACAGGUGACAUGAAUAAGCCAAGCAGGUUCAGGUCACGGGACCAAAAAUUUUUUCACUCAAGGGGCGCCUGGGUGGCUUAGUCAUUAAGUGUCUGCCUUUGGCUCAGGUCAUGAUCCCGGGGUCCUGGGAUGGAGCCCUGCAUUGGGCUCCCGCUCGGCGGGAAGCCUGCUUCUCCCUCUCCCACUCCCCCUGCUUGUGUUCCCUCUCUCGCUGUCUCUCUCUGUCAAAUAAAUAAAUAAAAAGUCUUAAAAAAAAUUUUUUUUUUCACUCUCAACACAAUUAGAAAAAUCUAUCCUGAGACAACAGGGAAUGAUGGGGAGUGUAAUGAGCUAGAAAGGUCCAUCUAUAGUGGCAGUCCUUCCUUACUCAGAUUUAGCAAUUACAGCCCUCUGAAAAUGAGGACCUAGUAUCAUCAGAUCUUCAAAUAUAUCAAGAGAAGUCAGAAAUCAGAAUUUGUAUAUAAAAAUGAUAUCAACUGAUUUAGCUAAUUUUAAAACACUGUACAGUGAGUUAGAAUGAUAUGCAAAGAAAUCAUAACCAAAACCAACCAAACAAAACACAAAGCCUCAAACCCAACAACCCUCAUUUGCCAUCUUUGGAGGUUGCUAGGGUAACGACCGAGUAGUCUAAAAAUUGAUAAAGAGACUAUAUCAAGCAUUUACCUGACCGUUCCCAAAUGCACUGUACUUCAAGGGAAUUAAAUAGUUAAGUUAAAAAUUACUCUUUAUAAGAGAAACACAGUUAAUAAAUUCAGAUGCAAUGACAGAAAGAAACAGAAAAAUCACCAUUUUAUAAUCCCUAACGAUGGUGAUGAUAAAUAGAUGCUAAAAUGGCUAGUUGAGAAGGUAACGGAGGAAAUUUUGUAAUGCAUGGAUCAGGCCAACAUCACCAGAACAUGCUGAUCAAGCCCAGCAUUGCUGAAAAGGAGACAGUCAGACAUCAUGCAUCCUUUGAUGUCGUAUAAUAAAAACAUGUUCACAGUAUCCCUAUGAUGGAGUCUGGCAGGCAAAAAAAAAAAAAAAAAGUUUAGAGAUAGAAAAAAAUGAGCCUGGAUUUGAUCACAGCUCUCGGUCCAACUAGCAGUUCACAGGAAAUAUAGGAAUAGAAGAAUAUGUUAAAAUGAGGGUAAAGCAGCCAAAUCUGUAAUGGGGUAAAUUCUACAGGGCAGUUUCUUCUACAAAUAAAUGGCACUAAAAACAAAUACAGACACUUAGCACUCAGCUCUUGGUUGCUAAAACCAUUUGGUGGUAAAAGGGACCAUGAUUCCUUGGAGAAAUACCAGACUCUAGGGCGAGGGCAAGGAAAAUACAAGAUGAGCCUGGAGCAUCUUGAAGUGUCAGAAAGUAAGAGAGAGCUGAAGGGAAAGAAAAGAAAAGGGAGUGUGGAGCCAUGUACACAGGUGUGAUGCAGGAGCCAAUGACCAAAGUGGGACAAUUUGGGCAAGAAAACAUUAUUAUUGGAUUAUAACACAAAGCAUAAAAUAAAUACUAUAAACUUACGUCCAUACUGAUAUAAAGAAAUGCUUGAAUAGAUAAAUGGCGGAGGAAAAAAAACCCCAAAUCUCUCUUACGUAAGAAUUCUAAAUGCAGAUACCUCCCCCUCCAGCAGGUGUGGUUUACUUCCCACCCUUUUGAGUGCGGGCUGAGCUUAAUGACUAGUUUUGAAAUAAUAAAGAGGAAAAUAAUCCCUUUACAAGGAAGAAACCUGGCAGACACCACCUUAGCCAAGUGACCAAAGUUAACAGCACCAGGGAUAACUCAUGUUAAUAUCACCCCUAGUAUGAUGCAAGGAGAAGGGCACUUGACCUCUGUGCUGGUCUUCCCCCAAACCCCAAACCCUACUCCAAUCAACAUCAAACAAACCCAAACUAGGGAGUUCUACAAAAAUUCUGAUCAACAGUUUUCAAAACUGUCAACAUCAUGAAAUAAAAGAAAGACUGAGGAACUGUGACAGAUUGAGAGAGACUUAAGGAAACACAGUGACUAAGUAUAAGGUUGGAUCCAACAACAGUAAAGGACCUGAUUGGCAAAACUCAUUAAAUUUGAAUAGUCUGCGGUUUAGUUGUGCACCAAUGUUAAUUUCUUAGUUUUGACACGAUUACGUAAGAUGAUAUCAUUAGGGGAGACUGAGUGGUCUUUAUAUGGACUGUCUUUACAACUUCGCUAUAAAUUUAAAAUUAUUCCCAAAUAUAAAGUUAAUUUAUAUUAUGCAGAGGAAACUGUUACAGAUUUUAAAAACACUGAAAGAAACAUAACCAAAUGCAAUGUGUGGGCGUGAUUUAGAUCCAGACUGGAAUAAACUUACUAUAAAAAGACCUGUUUGAGACAAUCAGGCUGUUCAGAUAUUAAUAAGGAAUUGUUCAUUUUGUCAGGUGCAAUUGUGGUACUGUGGUUAUGUUUUAAAAUCCUCAUCUUUUAGAAAUAAAAACUGAAAUACUCAUCACAGAUGAAAGGAUAUGAUGCUUGGAUUAUUGCUUUAAAAUAUUCCCACAAAA